rnacentral:rRNA from 1 species
GAUGAACGCUAGCGGGAGGCCUAACACAUGCAAGCCGAGCGGUAUUUGUUCUUCGGAACAGAGAGAGCGGCGCACGGGUGCGGAACACGUGUGCAACCUGCCUUUAUCUGGGGGAUAGCCUUUCGAAAGGAAGAUUAAUACCCCAUAAUAUAUUGAGUGGCAUCAUUUGAUAUUGAAAACUCCGGUGGAUAGAGAUGGGCACGCGCAAGAUUAGAUAGUUGGUGAGGUAACGGCUCACCAAGUCAAUGAUCUUUAGGGGGCCUGAGAGGGUGAUCCCCCACACUGGUACUGAGACACGGACCAGACUCCUACGGGAGGCAGCAGUGAGGAAUAUUGGACAAUGGGUUAGCGCCUGAUCCAGCCAUCCCGCGUGAAGGACGACGGCCCUAUGGGUUGUAAACUUCUUUUGUAUAGGGAUAAACCUACUCUCGUGAGAGUAGCUGAAGGUACUGUACGAAUAAGCACCGGCUAACUCCGUG